rnacentral:rRNA from 1 species
UAUGGAAAAGCAAAUGUAGGCAUGAGUAACGAUAAUGCGGGAGAGUAACCCGCACACCGCAAGACCAAGGUUUCCUGAUCAACGCUAAUCGGAUCAGGGUUAGUCGGGUCCUAAGGGUAAGCCGAACGGCGAUCUCGAUGGAUAAUCGGUUAAUAUUCCGAUACUAACAUAUACCUCGAUGGAGAGACGAAGGAACGUAAGUGCCGCCACCUGACGGAAUAGGUGGUUAAAGGGCGUAGGUAUAGGGGCAGAUUAAGAGUUAGUCCUUGCUGAAACCUGACAGUACAGAGAGCCUACGGGCAAUUUGAUAGAGCACCCAAGUCGACUUCCGAGAAAAUCUUCUAAGUUAUAGUAUAUGUUACCCGUACCGUAAACCGACACAGGUGGUCGAGGAGAGUAUCCUAAGGUGCUCGAGUGAAUCACGGUUAAGGAACUAGGCAAAUUAACCCCGUAACUUCGGGAAAAGGGGUCCCUAUGAAAGUAGGGCGCAGCGAAGAGGUCCAGGCGACUGUUUAUCAAAAACACAGGGCUCUGCAAAUUCGAAAGAAGACGUAUAGGGCCUGACACCUGCCCGGUGCUGGAAGGUUAAGAGGGGAUGUCAUCGCAAGAGAAGCAUUGAAUCGAAGCCCCAGUAAACGGCGGCCGUAACUAUAACGGUCCUAAGGUAGCGAAAUUCCUUGUCGGGUAAGUUCCGACCUGCACGAAUGGUGUAACGAUCUGGACACUGUCUCAACCGUGAGCUCGGUGAAAUUGUAGUCCCGGUGAUGAUGCCGGGUACCCGCAACGGGACGAAAAGACCCCGUGAACCUUUACUAUAGCUUAACGCUGAAUUUGGGUACACAAUGUGUAGGAUAGGCCGGAGGCUUUGAAGCGGGCACGCCAGUGUUCGUGGAGCCGACGUUGAAAUACGGCCCUUUGUGUAUUUGAGUUCUAACCCUGCGAAGGGGACACCGUUUGGUGGGUAGUUUGACUGGGGUGGUCGCCUCCAAAAGCGUAACGGAGGCUUCCCAAGGUACCCUCAGCACGAAUGGUAACCGUGCGCGGAGUGCAAUAGCAUAAGGGUGCUUGACUGUGAGACAUACAAGUCGACCAGGUACGAAAGUAGGGUAUAGUGAUCCGGUGGUUCUGCGUGGACUGGCCAUCGCUCAAAGGAUAAAAGGUACUCCGGGGAUAACAGGCUGAUCGCCGCCAAGAGCUCAUAUCGACGCGGCGGUUUGGCACCUCGAUGUCGGCUCGUCACAUCCUGGGGCUGGAGAAGGUCCCA